rnacentral:rRNA from 1 species
CCUACGGGGCGCAGCAGUGGGGAAUAUUGGGCAAUGGGCGCAAGCCUGACCCAGCAACGCCGCGUGAAGGAAGAAGGCUUUCGGGUUGUAAACUUCUGUUGUCAGGGAAGAGUAGAAGACGGUACCUGACGAAUAAGCCACGGCUAACUACGUGCCAGCAGCCGCGGUAAUACGUAGGUGGCAAGCGUGGUCCGGAUUUACUGGGUGUAAAGGGCGGGUAGCCGGGUUGACAAGUCAGAUGUGAAAUCCUGCGGCUUAACCGCAGAACUGCAUUUGAAACUGUUGAUCUUGAGUACUGGAGAGGCGGACGGAAUUCCUAGUGUAGCGGUGAAAUGCGUAGAUAUUAGGAGGAACACCAGUGGCGAAGGCGGUCUGCUGGACAGCAACUGACGGUGAGGCGCGAAAGCGUGGGGAGCAAACAGGAUUAGAUACCCGUGUAGUC